AGAUUGCAGGCUGCAACCCGCCUGCAUGAAGUCGGAAUUGCUAGUAAUCGCGGAUCAGCAUGCCGCGGUGAAUACGUUCCCGGGCCUUGUACACACCGCCCGUCACACCAUGGGAGCCGGUAAUACCCGAAGUCAGUAGUCCAACCUCGUGAGGACGCUGCCGAAGGUAGGAUUGGCGACUGGGGGUGAAGUCGUAACAAGGUACC
rnacentral:rRNA from 1 species